GAUGAACGCUGGCGGCGUGCCUAAUACAUGCAAGUCGAGCGAACAGACGAUGAGCUUGCUCCUCUGACGUUAGCGGCGGACGGGUGAGUAACACGUGGAUAACCUACCUAUAAGACUGGGAUAACUUCGGGAAACCGGAGCUAAUACCGGAUAAUAUAUUGAACCGCAUGGUUCAAUAGUGAAAGACGGUUUUGCUGUCACUUAUAGAUGGAUCCGCGCCGCAUUAGCUAGUUGGUAAGGUAACGGCUUACCAAGGCAACGAUGCGUAGCCGACCUGAGAGGGUGAUCGGCCACACUGGAACUGAGACACGGUCCAGACUCCUACGGGAGGCAGCAGUAGGGAAUCUUCCGCAAUGGGCGAAAGCUUGACGGAGCAACGCCGCGUGAGUGAUGAAGGUCUUCGGAUCGUAAAACUCUGUUAUUAGGGAAGAACAAAUGUGUAAGUAACUAUGCACGUCUUGACGGUACCUAAUCAGAAAGCCACGGCUAACUACGUG
rnacentral:rRNA from 1 species